rnacentral:lncRNA from 1 species
UCUCAGGCUCCUGGAAUUCCCUUAGGGUUCUUUAAUGAAGAGAAGAAAACUUGAAUUGUGUUGAAUUACUGUAUCUUCUGCUUUUUUUUUUUAAAGAUAAACUUGUAAAUAGAAUGAUUUGAAAUAUUAUAUGGUAAAGUUUUAUAUUUGAUAUUCUUUAAGCUAGUUUGCUCCAUACAUUUAGUAUUUUGAUUGCUGAACAGAUGUGUUUAAAAGGUUGCAAGAGAGGCCGGGCUAAAGAGUCAAGGUCAUGUCCCCUCUCUGGCCCAGUGAAAGAAUGUGUCCUCAAUGGUUCCUGUUGGUGAGCCUGGAAAGUUGGUUGCAUUCAGUUGUCUUUAUCUACAUGUGAUUUGGGGCUUUGGAGUUCAAAAGAGCAUCUUCAAGCAGUGAAUUUUCAAAGAACUCCCACCCAACAGUAAAGUGACACUCAGGAUCUCAGGAUUUAAAUAGGUGGGGUGAGGGCGACAUGUUUGUUUUUUGUUUGUGUGUUUGUUCUUCUCAGGUGUAUUUCUUGGUACCCCAGGAUGUCCAGACAAAAGGAGAUGAGCCAACACUCCUUUUUCCCCCACAUCUCCAAGCUAGUUUAUAAAUGUGUCUAUCAACUCUAAGAACUAAACAAGAAAGCCAGCUGCUGUGGUUCUUGGUCAUUGGUGAACUUUACUCUCUUCCUAUAGACGUGUUCCCGCACUUCCCCUUCACCUCCAAAGUCCCGGCAGCCCCAAAGUAAAAAAGAAUCCCCAAGAUGACACUGUUACAGUUUUUAGAGGUGCUGUAAUGUUAAUAGUUCAUUGUCGGGAUUCAGUAUUGAGUUUACCAGCUCAGGAUUAUACUGUUGCCAACCAAGGACCCAGCCAGGAGCAAGGGAGACUUGAACUUUCAGUCAGGCAAACACAGGAUUCCAAACUGACAAUGCUGGGUGUGAUGGCUCAUGUGUGGUCUUAGCACUUGGAAGACAGAGACAAGAGGAUUGCUGAAGACUUACGCCAGCCAGAUGUGAGGCUGGAGGAGGGUUGCAAACGGAAGGAAGAAAGGCAGUACACUCAGGUUCCAGACCUAUUCCCUGUGAGCUUGAGAAAAGGUUGGGCAAUGGGGCCCGAAGGGCAUGCACACUCAAGUAGCAUUGCUCCUUCCAAAUUAAAAGAGCCCAGCAUGAUACUUUUAAUAUAUCUGAUGGUUUAAAUUGUCGCCUGCCCCAUAAUAAAUGAACUAUGCUUGUAGUCAGGGCCCAGCACGACUGCUUGGAUACAUAUUCUUUCUCUCCUGAGCUGGCCCUGGUUUGAAACUGCUCUCUUAGGCUGACCUCCUUCCAGUUUCCCUGAGGCCAUGUGUGGCCUAUGACAGAUGGUCGCUCUGUUUCCCUUUGUCCAGCUAGGCCUCCCUCCUAUUCCUCCUCCUCGUCCUCCUCAGGAAAAAGAACUGGAGAGAUUAAUAUGAGCCAAGUAGGAAGGAACUUGAAGAUUAAAAGUGUUAUGUGCCCUUUCUGCUCUCUGAACACCCCUGAGCUCCCCACAAAUAAGGAAAACUGGGGUAGAUCAUGAGGAAUGAGUUGAUAUCAGAAUGGAAGUUCAUUGACCAGAGUCCCAAAGAUUUCCCAGGAGCUUUGAGUUUCUCUUGUAAGACCCUGGGAUGGGUUGGUUAUGGUUUGAAUUUUGGAGCAUCAAGAUGGUUGGUCUUACUCUCUGAGAUAGAGAGUUCCAUAAUUGAACAGUGCCAUUCUGUGCUAUGAAAUGAGAAGAUAGCUGCUUUCACAUCUCUGCCCCCAAGCAAGGAAAAUGAGCUUGUUCAACACUGAUGAAAUUCUCUAUUUUUUCUUUUUUUAAAAUAAAUGUGUGUGACUGACCUCCAUUCAGUGGAUGCCUCAGUCUUUAGUAUUAGAGCCAGUUUGUAGUAUUUUUAAAGCCAUUAUGUGAAGUCUUGUGGAUGCUUUUUUUAAUUUUUUUUUUAAAUCAGAGAAGAAAUGAGAAGAGAGUACUUCCAACUGGGCACUGGUGAGCCAGAGCCAUGCUGGCUGGUUGGGAGUUACAGGCGCUCUAGACCUGAGUGUGCCACAUCUGGAUCUUAAGGGAAAUCCUUCUUAACUGCAUUCCCCCCCAACCCCCCCAGGACAGUAGCAAUCACACCAAAAGCUGCUUCAGUCAUAGAACUUCCAGAAGCAUCCAUUAUUGAGGCAGGGGGAAGUAGACUAAAGAGGGUGAGAUCAUCUGUUCUUGGCCGGCUAUAUCUGCUUCCUGUGACAAGGCUGUUUACCUAGCUUCAUAGCCAGCGAGCUUGGGGGUGCACCAGUGACCACACAUUUGCCCUGGCACCCACUGUUCUUAGUAGACAAGGGAACCAAGCGUCUGCUUAGCUACCUGUCUUUCAAAGGAAUGUUCUGGCUGUCUAGGAAGGGAGUUGUCUGCCAAUUCUGUCAAACUUGACAGUGAUCACUUACGUUGAUAGCCCUGUCCCAACAGCCCUUUAAUCAGUCAGGUGCCCCUCACUCCCCAUAGUAGUGCAUGAAAAAAUAUCUUUUGCAUUCAAAUAUUUCUGCACCCAUGCAGAUCUAGUGUUUGUCUGUGAAUGUAGUAUCAAAAUGACAACAGCAGAGAGCUGGGACUGAACCUUGGACAUGCCUCCAACAUGCUGAGACAAGACUCCACCAGGCGAUGACGGGCCUUCUUCCCUUUGCCGCCCACAGCACGUGUCUAACUUAAAGAGCCACCCUAAGUAGACAGAGAUUCCAGACGUCACUCGGAGGCAGCCCUGUACUCAUGGAAGGAAAGCAUAGAUAUAAAAACACCCGGAUCAGGAAGGAAAGGUGAGCCACCCUGAGAGCAAGAACUAAGCAUAGUCCUAACCCACAGAGGGAGGGCCAAGAACUAUCCUGUCAAAAUUCACAUUAGUGCAGUCAGUGGGGAGCAAGGUUGUGGUAACUCAGUGUCUGAGUGACCUGGAGUAGCUUCAGGCAGGCUGGCAUACUCUCUGCCAUCAUGCACUCACACAUGCAUACCUACCAUUCUUGCGGCUUCUGAGUAAACACCAACAAACAGCAUCCCCGGGGUUCAAGAUGCCCGAGUCAGCUUGGUGUCUGUGAAAGCAUACAUGUGGGGAUUCUAAAAUUUGUGUGUGCGUGUGUUGGUGUGUAUGUGUUCGUACAUAGCACAUACAAGCAUAAAGGUGCCGCCUCGGGUGUAGACACACACACACAAGCUGGCAUUUGUAAAGCUCUUACAGCCUUGAAGAUUUGGAGGGAAGAGUUUUCAGAGGAACUAGAGUCUGUCAGUUUCCUAGCAAAAGAUCAAAGCUACAAACGAGCUGUCAUCUGAAGCCUCUGUUCGUGUUUAUCACAUAGUUAUCCACAGCUGCGUUCCUUGGUGACUUAUUAAAAGUCAGGUUAAAAACUCAAACCCAUAAAUUUCCAGUAGCUAAUGCUAGGCUAGUGUUCAAAAGCACUCUAAAAGACAUUUAGUCCAUAUUUUGGGAAAGAAACUAUUUGCAUGUUUAAUUCAUCUUUUAGGCUGCUGUUGAGUAUACUGUAAAGUGCUGUGUGAUAUCAAGCCAGUAAAGUACUUAUAAAUGGCACUUUAAUAUUUUCUUUUGAGAAAUCAUAAAACACUGUUGUAAAUUUCACUAUUGAAUAUUGACUGGUACAUAGAAUCAAACUCUGUAAUUAAAAAGUAGCCUGCAGCUAGGAUAGAACAUUUUUCUUGUUAUUAGAGAAAAAAAAAAAGUUUGCCAUGUUCAGGCUUUUUAAAAAAAAAGUGUUUCUGUGCCAUUGUUCGUAUCUAUAAAGAAAAUACAAUUUCUGUCAGGCAUCUCUGAAACCUGGCUUUUUUUAUGUUUGGUUCGUGUCUGUGGCAAUCCCUAUAAAGUGAGUGGAAGUAUGAUUUUUGAAUUAAAUGACUUUCCC